CUUAAUCGUUUUAGCAUGAGGAUGCUGAAGGCCAGGACGCCCAGGAGCCCCUGCAGGAAGAUGCCGAAGCUGUCCAUCAGGGCCCCGUUCUCGCAGCCGCGUUCGCCCGGCCCCGCCGCCGGCCCCGCUCCGGGCUGCGGGCUGAGGGCCGCGCCGAGGCUGCAGUUGGGCGGCGUCACCCCCAUGGCCAGGCCCGGCCGCUGCCCGCCUCAGCGGCGCAUGGCGGCGGCGACGACGUCGCGACCGGCGGCCGAGGCCGCG
rnacentral:lncRNA from 1 species